UCAUUAGUGAGGUACAUCCUUACCUGUUACUCCAGCAAUGGAGUUUCAGAACAUGAUGAAUGGAGACAAUGAGAUAUGAUUAUAUCUCCGCUUGUAGAGACAUGCAACCCUCUACAAGACCAUUCUGAA